GAUGAACGCUGGCGGCGUGCUUAACACAUGCAAGUCGAACGAGCAACUUCGGUUGCGAGUGGCGGACGGGUGAGUAACGCGUGGGUAACCUACCUUAUACAGGGGGAUAACAGCGGGAAACUGCUGUUAAUACCGCAUAAGCGCACGGAAUCGCAUGAUUCAGUGUGAAAAGCUCCGACGGUAUAAGAUGGACCCGCGUCUGAUUAGCUAGUUGGUGAGGUAACGGCCCACCAAGGCGACGAUCAGUAGCCGACUUGAGAGAGUGACCGGCCACAUUGGGACUGAGACACGGCCCAAACUCCUACGGGAGGCAGCAGUGGGGAAUAUUGCACAAUGGGCGAAAGCCUGAUGCAGCGACGCCGCGUGAGUGAUGAAGUAUUUCGGUAUGUAAAGCUCUAUCAGCAGGGAAGAAAAUGACGGUACCUGACUAAGAAGCCCCGGCUAAAUACGUGCCAGCAGCCGCCGUAAUAC
rnacentral:rRNA from 1 species